rnacentral:rRNA from 1 species
AGCGAACGCUGGCGGCAGGCUUAACACAUGCAAGUCGAACGGGCACUUCGGUGCUAGUGGCAGACGGGUGAGUAACGCGUGGGAACGUGCCUUUCGGUUCGGAAUAAUCCAGGGAAACUUGGACUAAUACCGGAUACGCCCUUCGGGGAAAGAUUUAUCGCCGAAGAUCGGCCCGCGUCUGAUUAGCUAGUUGGUGAGGUAAAGGCUCACCAAGGCGACGAUCAGUAGCUGGUCUGAGAGGAUGAUCAGCCACACUGGGACUGAGACACGGCCCAGACUCCUACGGGAGGCAGCAGUGGGGAAUAUUGGACAAUGGGCGAAAGCCUGAUCCAGCCAUGCCGCGUGAGUGAUGAAGGCCUUAGGGGUUGUAAAGCUCUUUUGUCCGGGAAGAUAAUGACUGUACCGGAAGAAUAAGCCCCGGCUAACUUCGUGCCAGCAGCCGCGGUAAU